UUGGAGGGCAAGUCUGGUGCCAGCAGCCGCGGUAAUUCCAGCUCCAAUAGCGUAUAUUAAAGUUGUUGCAGUUAAAAAGCUCGUAGUUGAAUUUCGGGGUUCUACCGUUGGUCGGGCUUUGUCUGCACUGGUGUGUAGAAUUUCUACCUUCUGGGGAACCAUCAUGCUAUUAAUUUAGCGUGGUGGGAAACCAGGACCUUUACCUUGAAAAAAUUAGUGUGUUCAAAGCAGGCUUAUGUCUGAAUACAUUAGCGUGGAAUAAUAGAAUAGGACGGUGGUCCUGUUUUGUUGGUUUCUGAAUCACCGUAAUGAUUAAUAGGGAUAGUUGGGGGCAUUAGUAUUCAAUUGUCAGAGGUGAAAUUCUUGGAUUUAUUGAAGACUAACUUCUGCGAAAGCAUUUGCCAAGGAUGUUUUCAUUAAUCAAGAACGAAAGUUAGGGGAUCGAAGACGAUCAGAUACCGUCGUAGUCUUAACCAUAGACUAUGCCGACUAGGGAUCGGAUGAUGUUAAUUUUUCUUGACUCGUUCGGCGCCUUACGGGAAAC
rnacentral:rRNA from 1 species